GGUCGGCUGACAUGUGUAAAUAUUGUGCCUAUUCAUUGGCCCCGGUGUCUUUCUGUUUGGAAGCGCAAGGAAGCCGGGGCGCUGCCUCCUGUACAUUUCGAAACCGAGUGGCAUCGGGCUACGUCGCGUACCUCAAAAGCAAAGCAUUUCAUUGGUACCUCACGGAGCUCUUUGCCCACAAAUAUGUUCUGCACUGUUCAAGUCGGACAAACUUCACAGCGACCUUAACAGGGCUUGGAAAGAUUGUUAACUGUGCUGAGCAGCUAUGAAGAAAGACAAGGAGGUGAAGAAAGAAUGGAGAUGUUGUCAUAUUGAGAAGCAAGAUAGGACCAAGCAACACACAAUGAAAAGUGGGAAGACUGACUAUUUGCUACAUUCUUGUGGAACAGGAUGGAAGGUGAUCUAAACAAAUCUCAUAUGAAUAGAUAUGUCCCUCAUGGCUGGUUGUCUGAGAAGGAGCUAUCAAGUCUAGGAAUUCCAGGAUCACAGGACAGACAAACAAAUGAAUGAUAUAUGUUUUAAAUGCAAGAAUUUUAGAAGAUCUAAUGAACUAUGU